UACGGGGGGGGUAAGCGUUGUUCGGAAUUACUGGGCGUAAAGGGCUCGUAGGCGGCCAACUAAGUCAGACGUGAAAUCCCUCAGCUUAACUGGGGAACUGCGUCUGAUACUGGAUGGCUUGGAUUCGGGAGAGGAAUGCGGAAUUCCAGGUGUAGCGGUGAAAUGCGUAGAGAUCGGCAGGAACACCAGUGGCGAAGGCGGCCACCUAGCCCGCACCUGACGCUGAGGCGCGACAGCGUGGGGAGCGAACUGG
rnacentral:rRNA from 1 species